UACGGAGGAUGCGAGCGUUAUCCGGAUUUAUUGGGUUUAAAGGUGCGUAGGCGGGUUAUCAAGUCAGCGGUAAAAUCGUGGAGCUCAACUCCAUCCAGCCGUUGAAACUGAUGAUCUUGAGUGGGCGAGAAGUAUGCGGAAUGCGUGGUGUAGCGGUGAAAUGCAUAGAUAUCACGCAGAACUCCGAUUGCGAAGGCAGCAUACCGGCGCCCGACUGACGCUGAAGCACGAAAGCGUGGGUAUCGAACAGG
rnacentral:rRNA from 1 species